rnacentral:rRNA from 1 species
UACGGAGGGGGCUAGCGUUGUUCGGAAUUACUGGGCGUAAAGCGCACGUAGGCGGCUUUGUAAGUUAGAGGUGAAAGCCCGGAGCUCAGCUCCAGAAUUGCCUUUAAGACUGCAUCGCUUGAAUCCAGGAGAGGUGAGUGGAAUUCCGAGUGUAGAGGUGAAAUUCGUAGAUAUUCGGAAGAACACCAGUGGCGAAGGCGGCUCACUGGACUGGUAUUGACGCUGAGGUGCGAAAGCGUGGGGAGCAAACAGG